AAAACAGCGUGCGUUUUUAGGCAUGCUCUUCAAGCAUGCAUUAAACUGCUAGCUGCCACGCAUGCUGCCCUUCCACAUUGCCCAGUGGAGCAGGAGCAAACUGCUCCCGUAGGGCAAGAGACUGGCUUGGAGAACUCCGGCAGCGAAGGAAGAACUUGCUCUUAAGUGAAGCCUUGCAAAAUCUAGGAAAUGCUGCAUCGAAGCUCUUGAAUUUGGACCAGUUCCAGGCCUGAUGUCCAGAAACUCAUCCUUAUGGAUAGUAAAUUUAAAGAGGCUGGAUGCAAAGGGGGAAGCAUGGUAAAGACAGCAUCUUUCCAGG
rnacentral:lncRNA from 1 species